CAUACACUCCCUUAGAUCCAUGUUUGGGACAUGUCCGUUCUGUCUUGUUGCUAAAUCCAAAUGAUGGUGGGCUCUUUAGUCGGCUGCCAGGCAACAUCCAAUAAACUUUGGUGAUGAGAACAACAUACCUGCACAUUGGACUGCAAUGUUCUGAUGUAAACAGCUUGUGUGAUCAUGUGCUGUUUCCUGCCAUCAGGACUCAGCUGGUUUGCGGACAUU